UGCUUAUCCAGAGUGGUGGAGGGACUGGCCCUAUGAAACCCGGCAACCUAUUAAUUUAGGUGCUAAUUCCAGCAGGUAUAUCCUGAAAGAUAAGGU
rnacentral:ncRNA from 2 species